AUAUGUAAAUAUUAUAAAUUAUUGCACCACAUCUAGUAUUUGAAAUAUCAAAUAUCAGAAAUCUUAAUUUUUUUUUCUAGCUCUAGCACCUCUUCAGAUCCCCACAUUUUAGUAAUAGCACCAUUUUCUUUUUUUGUCAAGCAUGAUGACAUACAAAAAAUGUUUCAUUAUAAAUAUAUUUAUAUUGAAAUAUAUGUUUCAAACUUUUUAAAUUCACUUUUUAAAAUGCCAAAUGAAGACAAUGAGGUCUCUCAGUGAUUGCAGUGGUUCCUUCCAGUGUUUCCUCCCCUGUUAAGCGUUGUGUCCCCUGUGAAACAAACCAUUGUUAAUAGCAAUGUCCACAAGCUUUUCUAAUAAACAUCAACUUUACCUAU